rnacentral:rRNA from 1 species
AUGUGUGUCCCGAAAAGCCAAGGUGGAAUGGGUUUUCGUGACAUUCAUUGUUUUAAUUUGGUGAUGUUGGCUAAACAAGCUUGGCGUCUCCUUGAGAACCCAGAUUCCUUGUGUGCCACCAUUUUGCGAGCUAAGUAUUUUCCUGAUGGAGAUUUAUUGAAUGCAAAGUUAAAAAAGGGAUCAUCCUUCACAUGGCAAAGUAUUAUGGCGGGGGUU